rnacentral:rRNA from 1 species
GACGAACGCUGGCGGCGGGCUUAACACAUGCAAGUCGAACGGAAAGGCCCUGCUUUUGUGGGGUGCUCGAGUGGCGAACGGGGGAGUAACACGUGAGUAACCUGCCCUUGACUUUGGGAUAACUUCAGGAAACUGGGGCUAAUACCGGAUAGGAGCUCCUGCUGCAUGGUGGGGGUUGGAAAGUUUCGGCGGGUGGGGAUGGACUCGCGGCUUAUCAGCUUGUUGGUGGGGUAGUGGCUUACCAAGGCUUUGACGGGUAGCCGGCCUGAGAGGGUGACCGGCCACCUUGGGACUGCGAGACGGCCCAGAGUCCUACGGGAGGCAGCAGUGGGGAAUAUUGCCCAAUGGGCGGAAGUCUGAUGCAGCGACGCCGCGUGCGGGAUGACGGCCUUCGGGUUGUAAACCGCUUUCGCCUGUGACGAAGCGUGAGUGACGGUAAUGGGUAAAGAAGCACCGGCUAACUACGUG